rnacentral:rRNA from 1 species
AUUGAACGCUGGCGGCAUGCUUUACACAUGCAAGUCGAGCGGCAGCGCGGGGGGCAACCCUGGCGGCGAGCGGCGAACGGGUGAGUAAUGCAUCGGAACGUGUCCCGUAGUGGGGGAUAACCCGCCGAAAGGCGGGCUAAUACCGCAUAUGCUCUACGGAGGAAAGGGGGGAUCCGCAAGGACCUCUCGCUAUGGGAGCGGCCGAUGUCCGAUUAGCUAGUUGGUGGGGUAAUGGCUUAUCAAGGCGACGAUCGGUAGCUGGUCUGAGAGGAUGAUCAGCCACACUGGGACUGAGACACGGCCCAGACUCCUACGGGAGGCAGCAGUGGGGAAUUUUGGACAAUGGGCGCAAGCCUGAUCCAGCCAUGCCGCGUGAGUGAAGAAGGCC